GACGAACGCUGGCGGCGUGCCUAAUACAUGCAAGUCGAACGCAGUGGGGACGGGUGAGUAACACGUGGGUAACCUCCCAUCAGAGGAGAUAACACUUUGAAACAGGUGCUAAACCGAUACUGAUGGAUGGACCCGCGGGGCAUUAGCUAGUUGGUGAGGUAACGGCUCACCAAGGCCACGAUGCGUAGCCGGCCGGAGAGGGUGAUCGGCCACACUGGGACUGAGACACGGCCCAGACUCCUACGGGAGGCAGCAGUAGGGAAUCUUGGGCAAUGGACGAAAGCCUGACCGAGCAACGCCGCGUGAGUGAAGAAGGUGUUCGGAUCGUAAAACUCUUUUGGUAGAGAAGCGGUAUCUAAACAGAAAGCCACGGCUAACUACGUGCCAGCAGCCGCGGUAAUAC
rnacentral:rRNA from 1 species